CAGGCCUUUUUUCUCUGUGUCUUUGUUCAAAACAGUAUUUUUCAAUAUGGUACUACAAUUAGGUACUUUUCUCAGCUGCAUUGAUGUUUUUAUCCCAAUCUCCAGUUCUGCAAUUUACCCCAACGAGAAUGGUCUCUGCAAUUCACCAAUCUCCAGUUCUUUCGUCUCUACAAUUCACCAUAAUCGCAACUCCUUCAGCUCUUU